GUUCCUGUAGCGCAAUGGAUAGCGUGUUGGACUUUUAAUCCAAAUAUCAUGGGUUCGAAUCUCACCAGGAAUA